UUACUCGAAGAAGGUAUAUUUUAAAUAACUAUUUUUGGGCUUUUGUUUUGGGUUUUUUAUUUUGGAUUUUUAUCGAUUUGGAGGAAACCCUCACGAUUUGGAUUUGCGGUGAGUUGCAGUGUUGUCGUGGCUUUGGGGGCUAAAAGCGGAUUCUUUCUUUGUUGUCCUCCGUUAACAAACCUGAAAUUUUCCAAGAACUACAACUGUUGUUUUGGGUAUGCUUUCCUGCCUCCGCUUCUUGAUGAUUCUGUUUGUGUUUCUUAUUUGGUUCGCUAAAAUUUGUCGUUUUGUUUCUUGAAUUUGAUUCUAUGUGGAUUCAUUUUGGUGGAUAUCUCAAAACUUGAGAGGGCGAUUGUUCGGGUGAAGAUUUCUCUGGAGAAGGAUUCUCGGACCUCAGCACAGCUUCCCAAGGGAUUGGCACUUUGGAUGUAUAGUCAGUCUUUUGCUUGUUGAAAUGCUACAAGAAGAUAAUGAUGCGUAAAUUAACUUAACACACAAAUUAAACCCUCUUGUUGUCAAUUGUAGUAAAGAAUGUAAGUAGGGAUUGCUAAAACACUUGAAACUGACUUAAAUAUGUGACAACAAACUUAAAAGCAUAAAAUUAAACUUACAAGACUCAAAACAAAGCCACAAAACUCAAAACAGAUUAUAGAGACUCAAAACUGCCUAAAAACAACUCUAAGGCAGUUUCUGCCACUAACACUAAGUUUGGACGAAAAUUGAUUUUAUCUUGACUUAAAACACUUAAAAACACAAUCUAAAACAAGUACUAACUAAUAUGACUUUAAUAAAACAAGGGGAUUUUGGUUUUGGACUAAAAUAAGGAAAACAAAGCAAGAAUAAUUUAAACAGAUUCUUAGACAAAUUUAGGUGAAUUGAUGGGUGAUGGGUUAAACUAUGGAUGAUGGGCUAGCUAGAGGGUUCUUCUCCACACAUGACACAUUUGCAUAUAAAACGAUUUCUAGUUGCUUUUCAAUAAACCAUGAACCUCAACACCCCAGAUUAAUUAGGUACGCUUAAAUUAAUCAUCAGAUUUUCCUAAUUUCAUUGAAUUGGAUGAUUGCAUACAACAACCCAAAGCAUUCCCCACAAGUUCCCUACAUGAAUUGCAUAAUAGAAAUACAAGCAAGAAUCAUUAAGUUCUAUGAAAAUCAUAAGCAUUGACGAAACACUUGUAACUAUGAAUUGCAUGAAACUUAUGCCAAGAAUUUAUUUAACACGGUUGUGACGAACAACCUUUACUACUUGUGAAUAUAAGUUCAUAACGAUUAGAUGAAACUCCCUUAUAUCCUAGCAUCAUAUUUAUGCAUGGAAAUUAAGCGUGCACUCUCAACCAAGAUACACAAAUCAGUUUUAAUUCAAAUGGAUAAGUAAAUUGAAUUCACAACUUAUGAAUCACAACAGAAAGUAAUCAAAUCAUAUUGCAAGCAUGAACAUGGUUUCGAAUUCCCCCCUAGCUAAGGGGGGUUUAGUUUCUCAUACUUACAAAGCAAAGAUAAACAAAAUUUAGACAUUGAAAACAAAAGAAAGAAAACACCUAAAAACGCUCCAACGAUCCAAGUUGGACAGCAAGCACAUCUAAGCACUUUCCUUCCCUUCCUUUGCUACGGCAGAAGGUGUUGGUGAGUGUUUGAAGGUUUGUUUGUAUGGAGGAAUGGAUGUGAGGAUGAAUGGAAGUGUUUGGAUGAAGGUUGUAAGAUGUGAAUGUAGUGUCUUUGGAUAGAUCUCUCCCAAAUUAUGGUGAAGGGUGGAUGUAUUUAUAGGCUAGGGAAAGGAGUGUAUGGAGUUGUAAUGAGUGGAUGUAAUGGGUGUAGUGGUUGAGUGUUGUGGUAAUGAGUGGAUGUAAUGGGUGUAGUGGGUGGAUGUUUGGUAAUGAGUGGAUGUAAUGUGUGUAGUGGAUGAGUGUUUGGUAAUGAGUGGAUGUAAUGGGUGUAGUGGGUGAGUGUUGUGGUAAUGAGUGGAUGUAAUGGGUGUAGUGGAUGGAUGUUGGUAAUGAGUGGAUGUAAUGGGUGUAGUGGAUGGAUGUUUGGAGUUGUAGGUUA
rnacentral:lncRNA from 1 species